rnacentral:rRNA from 1 species
AGUGAACGCUGGCGGUAGGCCUAACACAUGCAAGUCGAACGGCAGCACAGUAAGAGCUUGCUCUUACGGGUGGCGAGUGGCGAACGAGUGAGGAAUACAUCGGAAUCUACUUUUUCGUGGGGGAUAACGUAGGGAAACUUACGCUAAUACCGCAUACGACCUACGGGUGAAGGCAGGGGAUCUUCGGACCUUGCGCGAUUGAAUGAGCCGAUGUCGGAUUAGCUAGUUGGCGGGGUAAAGGCCCACCAAGGCGACGAUCCGUAGCUGGUCUGAGAGGAUGAUCAGCCACACUGGAACUGAGACACGGUCCAGACUCCUACGGGAGGCAGCAGUGGGGAAUAUUGGACAAUGGGCGCAAGCCUGAUCCAGCCAUACCGCGUGGGUGAAGAAGGCCUUCGGGUGGUAAAGCCCUUUUGUUGGGAAAGAAAAGCAGCAGGUUAAUACCCCGCUGUUCUGACGGUACCCAAAGAAUAAGCACCGGCUAACUUCGU